rnacentral:rRNA from 1 species
UACGUAGGUGGCAAGCGUUGUCCGGAUUUAUUGGGUUUAAAGGGCUCGUAGGCGGCCAACUAAGUCAGACGUGAAAUCCCUCGGCUUAACCGGGGAACUGCGUCUGAUACUGGAUGGCUUGAGUUCGGGAGAGGGAUGCGGAAUUCCAGGUGUAGCGGUGAAAUGCGUAGAUAUCUGGAGGAACACCGGUGGCGAAGGCGGCAUCCUGGACCGAUACUGACGCUGAGGAGCGAAAGCCAGGGGAGCAAACGGG